UUCCUAAAAUUCCUUAAACGGAUGGAGGAAAGAUAAGCCCAUGAUUUUAGAAUAGGGAAAUCAAGUUCUAUAGCAAGCAGGAGUAUGACUAUUUCUUGCAAACAAACAAAACUGCCUUAAUCUAACAUCCUAGCAUAUUCUUGUAAGCCGAAUCCGUAUCUAAGAUGGAAAUCAUUCUAUAAGUUUUAUAUUCGAUCUUGGCUUUAAUUUUCAAUCUUGCAUAG
rnacentral:misc_RNA from 1 species